CCUACGGGCGGCAGCAGUGGGGAAUAUUGCACAAUGGGGGAAACUCUGAUGCAGCGACGCCGCGUGAAGGAAGAAGUAUUUCGGUAUGUAAACUUCUAUCAGCAGGGAAGAAAAUGACGGUACCUGACUAAGAAGCCCUGGCUAACUACGUGCCAGCAGCCGCGGUAAUACGUAGGGGGCCAGCGUUAUCCGGAUUUACUGGGUGUAAAGGGAGCGUAGGCGGCGUUGCAAGUCAGAAGUGAAAGCCCGGGGCUCAACUCCGAGACUGCUUUUGAAACUGGGUGGCUAGAUUGCAGGAGAGGUAAGCGGAAUUCGUGGUGUAGCGGUGAAAUGCGUAGAUAUUACGAAGAACACCAGUGGCGAAGGCAGCUUACUGGACUGUAAAUGACGCUGAGGCUCGAAAGCGUGGGGAGCAAACAGGAUUAGAUACCCUGGUAGUC
rnacentral:rRNA from 1 species